rnacentral:rRNA from 1 species
GUCCACGCCGUAAACGAUGGAUACUUGGUGUUGGAGGUAUUGACCCCUUCAGUGCCGAAGCAAACGCGUUAAGUAUCCCGCCUGGGGAGUACGGUCGCAAGAUUAAAACUCAAAGAAAUUGACGGGGCCCGCACAAGCGGUGGAGCAUGUGGUUCAAUUCGAUGCAACGCGAAAAACCUUACCUGGGUUUGAAAUCAAGUGGAAGGCUAUCAGAAAUGGUGCCGCUCUUCGGAGUCGCUUGACAGGUGCUGCAUGGCUGUCGU